GAUCCGGUGGCUUAGUGGUUAGAGCGUCCUUCUCGGGUGCGAGAGGCUGUGGGUUCGAUUCCCAGUUGAGUCA